rnacentral:lncRNA from 1 species
UCUUUUUCUUAUUCUUCCUAUUCUUCUUCUUUUGUUUUCAUUCUUUAUUUUUCUUUUGUUUUGAUCACUUAUCCGGAUAGAUCGGAAUAUGAAAUGGAAGGGAUGGAAGACUCACCUAGCUCCGGGACAACUAUGUGAUGUUCCCUCCGGCGGCUCGGAUCCCUACUCCGAUGAUAUUGCUCAUGCUUCAGUUCCUUGUAGCAGAAAAAGAGGGGAAUGAGAAGAAAUGAGAGGGUGAUGGAGUUCCUUUGUGAGGGAGCCAUGAGCCUUAAUAGCCCUCAGCUGGAAGAGGAGAGUGGUGGUGAUCGUGGCUGUCA